rnacentral:rRNA from 1 species
UACGUAGGUGGCAAGCGUUGUCCGGAAUUAUUGGGCGUAAAGCGCACGUAGGCGGCAUUGCAAGUCCCAUGUGAAAGCCCACGGCUUAACCGUGGAAGUGCAUGGGAAACUGCAGUGCUUGAGUACUUAAGAGGAUCGCGGAAUUCCCGGUGUAGAGGUGAAAUUCGUAGAUAUCGGGAGGAACACCAGUGGCGAAGGCGGCGAUCUGGGAAGAUACUGACGCUGAGGUGCGAAAGCGUGGGGAGCAAACAGG